GGCCGAAAAUCAAGUUUUAGUAUGAAAAACUUUUUUAUUUUUUGAUAUAUUUUAACUAAACUGACAAAAUAUGCUUUAAGAUGGUAAUUUGAACUAAUAAAUUUGUUUCUAUAUAUAAAGCUAUAUUAAUUACCCAUCGUUAAGUAUGUUUACCGUUAAAAUCUAUGGAAAGACGGCUAAGUUAUUAACAUAUAAACAAUGAAACAGGUUUUUCGCAAAGGUUGAUUUUCGACUGAUCGGUCCCAUGGCAGCUAUAUGUUAUAGUGGUCCGAUUUCAACCAAAUUUGGACAGGUUGUAUAAGACGAUACGAGAUUCUUAAUUUAUAAUUUUGUAAUGAUGACAAAAGUGGGCGCACC